UGAGUACUCCCUUCGUUUGAAAAUACUUGUCAUUGAAAUGGAUGUAUCUAGAUGUAUUUUAGUUUAUACAUCCAUUUUCAUCCAUUUUGAUGAUGACAAGUAAUUCCGGACGGAGGGAGUACGUG
rfam:Triticum aestivum genome assembly, contig: Triticum_aestivum_CS42_TGACv1_scaffold_405812_5BL